UGGUGGACAGGACCACAUGGCUUGCAUCCUGAACAGAAAAGAUCCAUCAUAGUCUCUCUGCCAUGGAUUGCAACUACGUUUUGAGCACCCAGAGUUGUGUGGAAUGAGGAAGUGGCCUCCAAAUCAAUGAAAUUAA